rnacentral:rRNA from 1 species
GGACGAACGCUGGCGGCGUGCUUAACACAUGCAAGUCGAACGGAAAGGCCCUGCUUUUGUGGGGUGCUCGAGUGGCGAACGGGUGAGUAACACGUGAGUAACCUGCCCUUGACUUUGGGAUAACUUCAGGAAACUGGGGCUAAUACCGGAUAGGAGCUCCUGCUGCAUGGUGGGGGUUGGAAAGUUUCGGCGGUUGGGGAUGGACUCGCGGCUUAUCAGCUUGUUGGUGGGGUAGUGGCUUACCAAGGCUUUGACGGGUAGCCGGCCUGAGAGGGUGACCGGCCACAUUGGGACUGAGAUACGGCCCAGACUCCUACGGGAGGCAGCAGUGGGGAAUAUUGCACAAUGGGCGGGAGCCUGAUGCAGCAACGCCGCGUGCGGGAUGACGGCCUUCGGGUUGUAAACCGCUUUCGCCUGUGACGAAGCGUGAGUGACGGUAAUGGGUAAAGAAGCACCGGCUAACUACGUG